AACGAACGCUGGCGGCAGGCCUAACACAUGCAAGUCGAACGCACCGCAAGGUGAGUGGCGCACGGGUGAGUAACACGUGGGAAUGUACCCUUUGGUUCGGAAUAACGUCUGGAAACGGACGCCAAUACCGGAUGGGCCCUGCGGGGGAAAGAUUUAUCGCCUAAGGAGCAGCCCGCGUCUGAUUAGGUAGUUGGUGGGGUAAAGGCCUACCAAGGCGACGAUCAGUAGCUGGUCUGAGAGGAUGAUCAGCCACACUGGGACUGAGACACGGCCCAGACUCCUACGGGAGGCAGCAGUGGGGAAUAUUGGACAAUGGGCGAAAGCUUGAUCCAGCCAUGCCGCGUGAGUGAUGAAGGCCUUCGGGUUGUAAAGCUCUUUCGCACGCGACGAUGAUGACGGUAGCGUGAGAAGAAGCCCCGGCUAACUUCGUGCCAGCCGCCGCCGUAAAAC
rnacentral:rRNA from 1 species